rnacentral:lncRNA from 1 species
ACAGGGGUUUCUCUGCAAAUUCCUUUCUCAGUUUCUCCUUAGUUUGUCUUUGUCUAAUCUCGAUCGUCUUCGUUGAUUCUUAAACUCAAAGACUUUCCUCAUUCUCAAUCCCUCUCUUCCAGAUCGUCUUCAUCGAUUAUUAAACUCGGGGACUCUCCUCCUUCUCAAUCUCUCUCUACUAGACUGAUUGACUCUGGCUCUCUCAGACUGACCAAAUUCUCAAUAGCUGAGCUCCCUUCUCAGCUCGUCUCAACUCCGACCACUACCUGACGACCCAUCUUGAAAUUUUUAGUGUGUAAUACCUGCUGUUGUAUGAAGCUCGCUCAUAUCAAAAUCAUUUUUUUUAUUUGGGUUGAAGAUUGCUUUAUUAUGUAUGUGUUUUUUUGAGUUCUUGCUAAUUUCAUAGCUAAUUGGAUAUAUGGUUGGUGUUAUUUGCAAGAAUUUGAGCUAAAACAUGCAGGCAGGUCGCUAGAAAUUUGAAAUUUCCUGAAACUUCAUAGCUUCAUUUGUUCGUUGUUUGUUACAGGUCAAGAGAAGCACAACAUGUAGAAAUGACUCGGGGACCCGUAAGAAAAACGGGCCGGGUUAGGUCCAAUUCCCACUUUCAUUUUUCUGUUUUCCGGCUUGACCCAUGUUGUUUUAUUUUCCACCGGGUCCAGUCUGGUUCCUUCAAUUUUGGGCCUGGCCCGGCCCGUGCCCAACCCUACUAAUAAUCAUUCCGUAUGCAAGCUUAACAGUAAAUCACCAAGACACAAUUCAUCCAUAGUACCGUUGUACCGAUAAUUACUCCAUGUGGAAGCAAUAGUGAAAAUAUUAAUCAUUCAAACAAACCACUAUUCACACAUUCACCAACAAUCAUCCAUCCCGUGGUCUCACAAUCACUCCGUGCUCUGAUAGUCAAUUGUGCUAUCAUUCAUGCCUCAUUCUCCAGUAAAAGAGACCCGAAACCUAAGUCAGCAAGUUAGUUCAAACUUUAUUUUUUUCAGUUUCAAAACUAUUCAUGCAUAAACCAAUAGUCAUCCAGCUCGUGCUCUUACAACCACUCCAUGCUCCUAUAGUCAAUUGUGCUAUCGUUCAUGCUGUUCGUGGCUAGAAUUUCCAUUGGGGAUGUUUCUUAGCCGACGAGCACACAACUCCCCGAGAGGUUGGCGCCGGUCAAUGCUUUCUGUCGGGCUUCUGCUUUACUGGCGGGCUUGUCAGGCAAAGCUUGUCGGGCAAGGCUGAAAGAGAAGGACAGAAUUAACUUUGAAAUGUGCCUUUGUGGGGUCUUAGGUAUAGGCCUUGAGGCUCACAAUCAAGAUUAACUUUUAAGUGCUCAGGCGUGCCACUGCCAUCUUCAGCAUGACAGAUGUAAAACGGAUGUUGAGUUUUAGUUGUAUAUAUAUCCGAGAGGCUGUUUUAGUUAUGAAAUGUGCCUUUGUAUGGCCUUAGGUGUAGGCCUUGAGACUUCCAAUCAGGAACUAACCCAGUAGUCGAAUAUAUAAUGUUUGUUUCAUUGCUUACAGAAGUAUUAUGACCAUUAUACUUCUGAUUACCCGAGCCCGAAAAGCAGAAGGAAUCCAAAUAGGUGCCUUUGUAGGGCCUUAGGUGUAGGCCUUGAGGCUUCCCAUCAGAAUUCCUUCUAUGCUCAAACGUUCUACGAUAAUCAUAAUAUAAUAGAAAUAACACAAAGGGAUAGGUCGAUUACUUACACCCCAAGUAACUUCGGACUUCUUGUUUAUCAAAGACUGUCGUGGAUGUGUUAAGUCCACAUAAGGUUCUUUUUUAUGCCUUAAGACCAUGGACUUUUAAAUGAUCAAUCUUACAUGCCCGAGGGCUUAGAACUUAGAUCUGAUUUAAUCUGUGAAGACAUAUUUAAAUCAGAUUCAAGAACUGAGGAGCCUUUUUAAUCAUCAACUUGCCAGAAAUGACUUGGAUACAACUAGAAGUAUACAACAUAUUACUUGACUACUGAAUGAAAAGACAAAAACAAAGAGGGUCGGGCAAGGUUGAUCGUCUUGCAACUUCCUAUCUUUGUGGUUUAUCAAGGGGUUUGAGAGCUUAGAAAGAGGGGUAAGGAGAUGGGUUUACAAAAGGAAAUCGAUACUACAUCAUGUUCUAGACAAGGUAGCAGAGCUAUUACAAAGGCUUUGGGUGAGGGUUGAUCCCGAAAAAGGAUAAAGAUUUGGGCUGACUACAGCUUUGUUGAAGGCAAAUCUGGUUUGAGCAGAGUUUGUGCUUGUAUUUGUUUGUUUGAUUGAGUGUCUUUAUCUCUGAUUUCUCUUUCUUCUUUUAUAGACACUUCGGCUUGGCCUCCUGUAGCAAUAACCUUGCCCGAAUGCAACUUAAAGGGCAAUGACUCAUCAACUUUUUACUUGUACUGCCACUGUAAAGUGCUUUUGGGCUGAUUAGCUGGCUGGUCUAUACCACUUGACCUCUAAGUAGGUGAGCAAGUGGUUCAAAUGGUCUACACCUAGUCAGAAAAUGGCAUCUCCUGCUUUCUGGGCUUUGGCUGGGCUUCGAGCUUUUCUCCUUCUUGAGCCCAAAGUUCAAGUUUUAACCCAAACAGUGUCCCCUUCAAUUAAUAUUCAGACUGGAACUCCAGGCGCCAAUAUUAAUUGAAUAGCCGCCUUUAUACCCACGCAUUUCUUUCGGGAUUUGCACACUUUUUAAAGAUACUCAUCACUUUCCUGCGAUCAUUCCACUAACCCACGAGUCCUCUGCAUUUGAAAAUUUCCUAACUUCCCAGACGUUUUACUUCUUUAAAUCUUUCAGACUCUCUUUUUCUUUUUGCCCGAUACCUUUUACCUUUCUCAUCGCCUUUGCCGUUCCCCUUCCAAACUUCAUCAAAUGGUUUCAGGAUCCAGCCAAACCCAAUUAUCCUAUGAAUCUGGCGAAGGUAUCGCCACUUUGCGCCAUCUACUCAACGGACUGCAUCGCCCUCGGGCAGGUUUUUUUUCUGAGCUUUUCUUUGAAGUGCACGGGGCACAAUCAUUGGGUCCCAUAUGGAUUUCCCGGGUCCCUGCAGUGAUAGAGAACAAUAUGCCCAGGGAUAACAGGUUUUCCCCAAAUCCCUUUUUGGUUAAGUCGGGCAUUUCUUCAUCCAAAUGGUCGUCAUAUCGUCGAGGCUUUCCUUUUAUGAACGAUCCGGCUUGGGCUCAGUGGAUUGAUGAACUAGAGCCAACUUUUAAGAAGAAAUGGAUGAAUAACAACAUUUAUGAAUUGAUAAUGCUCUAAAAAACUGCCAUUAUUCCUAAGCCCGAACUGCUUGCUUCUUCUCUUCUUCUCUGGAAUUCGGGCACAAACACUUUUGACUUCCGUAUGGGUCCCAUGUCUCCGACUGUCCUUGACAUGGCCCAGGUCUUCGGGCAGAAUAAUGGACGUUACUCAAGACUGGGCUCCCCCUUCAAUUGCUGAAAGCUCAGGUUCAUCCGUCUCUUUCCUUUCCUUGGAAUAUAAUUCUGCAAUCUUCAAAAGUUACGGGACCUCCUUCAAGGGAUUCAUCCCUUUUGUAAAGGAGAAUUUUGGAGCAGAUUCUUUUCAUGCCAAUAGAGAUCAGGAAAUGUACUUCCUGUUAUAUUGGCUCAACAAACAUGUCUUCCCCAAUAAGUCUAAAGGAGUGAAAGUUGAAUGGAUCCCCUUGGUAGAAGCUCUUCAUAAUUUUGAUGAUGUAGCCACGGGUCUGUUCCUUCUUUCUCAUCUUUACCAUCUUCUUUUUUAAAUGACUCAGGGCGAGCCAUUUGAAACCAACUUGAAUGGACCCAUAUGGAUGAUCCAAACAUGGCUUCAAUGGUACUUCCCAGAGUUUCAGGCUGCUAACUUAGAGUUCCCAGAAGGUGUAGCCCUCGCCCGAAUCCUAGCUGAAGCUGCUCCUACAGACCAUUCUACCUUUGCAUGCUUUUAUUUUUUCAAGGUUUGUAGGACUCGGUCAUAUUUGGAAUGGGGCACGUCAGUUUGAGGAGAUAUCCUUGGUUCUCCGAUCAAGCCUUCCAAUAUGCUCUCGGGGAAGAUGCCACCUCAUUUUGCAGGGAGAAAUUCAUUAGUUGUAUUCAACCGAGAGACAUGGCCUGGGGAGUUCGAGGUAACCGAUAUGAUCGAGGGUUGGAGGUGUAUCACCCUAACUUCUGCAGCAGGCAGUUAGGCUUUAGGCAAGCCAUUCCCAUUCCAUUCUUCGACUCUGUCCAUUGUGGCACUUCCUUCCGAUUAUCAUCUCAUUUGGAGACGACCUUUCGAGCUACCCGACGUAGUCUUGAAGUUAUGAAUCAGGCUGCCCAAAAGUCUAUAAUUUUUAAUUUUGAAUGCAUUUCGCUCUUUUCUUCUUGGUGGGAAGACAAAUGGACCAAGAAAUAUGGAGGAGAUUUGCGAAACUCAUGAUCGCCUCUUCAGUCAACUUUCCCUCAAAUCAUAUCCUAGUUCGGGCGAGCUUGAAAACUGGAAAGAGAUGAUCCAACAGAAGAAUCGGUCACUUUUGAUAUGUAUUUCUUUUCUUAACUCGAUUCUGUCUUCUUCCAAAGUUCUUUAGAUCUUACUUUGCUUGAUCCUGCAGCUUAAGUAGAUGAAACAGCACCUAUUGAAUCCGAGGAUGACUCAGCUGAUGCAGCAGUUCUUCAUGGAGCCGCAGUAGAGGUUAAAAGACGAGAAGCUGGAGAAGGCGGAGAUGCUUCAUAAUCCUUUGGAGAUUCAGAGACUGAAGAAGCGCCUGAAGCCACCACCAAAGCGUCUAAGCGAAGGAAAGCAGUUGUAAUCGAGACCUCAGAUUCUGAUCCUGCAUCUCCACUCAAGACUAGAUGACCAAUUCCUACUAGAAAGAGUAAAAGAACAAGAACCGUCCAAACUCCCAAGUGUUCAACCUCAUUUGCUCCAGUCUCUGAGGCAGGCAGAAAGAAACAAAAGUCUUCAAAUAAAUUUUUGUUCUUCUUUAUUAGAUUGCCACCCUUCCUCUUUAUCUAAUUGCCCUUGUUUUCCUUGAAAACAGGACCUCAAGCAUCUAAGAAACCAACCAUUGCUUCUAAGGAGGAUCCACUCGGAGCUGAAAUGUAUCGAAAGGCUGAGGAGUUAUGAAAUAUCACCCUAAAAAAACUUGAGGUAUGGUUUAUGUUUUUAUCUGCAUAAUCUUUCUUGCUUUCACAAAACUCUGAAUAUGAUUACUUGAGUCAGACCGCAAAAAAAGAAAAACUCAUUCCGCCCGAGGCCUCUUCUCCACUUGCCCGAGAAACAAGCAUCUCUCAUCCCCAGAUUAAUCCUUCAGAAGUGCAUCUCCUUCAUCCUCAAAUCUUGGGUAACUUUAUAGCUCAUGGAACUAAUACCUGAACUUUCCUAUUCCUCUUUCUUCAUCCAGGCUGGGGUAUCUACCCCCUUGCUUAGUUAAAGUUCUCCUUCGAAGUCUUCGAUUUCUCCUUCUGCCCUGGAGGCAAUUCCAUCUUCCCAAUUUAAUCUAUCCACAUGAGUCAUGUUGCACUUGAGGAUAGUAAUUCGGUGAGCAACUGUCCUUACAUUGAGUUUCUGUGUACUGUUUCUAUAUUGACUUAUGUUUACAUCUUUUUUAGCCUUCUCCAAUACACAAACCACAACAACCGUUAGUGGCAAUAUGUGACGAGCCCAUAGUUCUUGAGAUUCCUGUGACUUCAGAGGCCACUAUUUCGCAGGUGCUUGCUCGCCCAAUAGUUACCACUGAUGAACCUUCUUCUUCUCCUUAGGGGUCAAACUCAGGUAUGGAAAUAUUUUCUUUCUAUUUUCCCCUUAUAACCUGUUUACUGAUAAUUGCUACAAUCUCUGAAUACUUCUAGGGCACUGGUGAAGCUUCAGGCGUAUCUCUUUCUUCCCCUGUUGGUGGUUCUUCUCCUCAACUAGGAGUAGAUGUUCUUCCUUUUAAAGCUCCAAAGCUUAGUCAGGCAUAUUUUUUCUUCCCAAAAAUUCUUUUUUUCUUCAAACUACAUUUCUUGCCUUAACCUGGUCUUAUUUGGUUCUUGCAGCAGGCUCUGAAAGAAGCUUUAGGCAAAUCCCCCGCGUUUGGUGCGUAAGACGGAGCUCCCCCGACCUCCUUCGUCUUUUGGAGGUACAAGGAUUACCCUUUCUGAGCUUGAGAAGACCAAGAAGACCAAAAUUGCCUCAUUAGCGGUUACUGCUUCAUUAGAAGAAACUGAAAUGCAAACCCCUCCCGCUUCUUCUUCAUUUUCAACGACUGCCAUCUUGCCCGAACUUUUGGAAGAAUUCGGGCAACUUGAGACAAGGCUGAAAUCUUCAAAGCAUUCUGCCAUAUCUUCCGGUCUUCGAGAGCAACAAUGAGCUUUCCAAGAAUGGACCAGGAAAGACUUCUCAGCUUCGUUCAGCUUCAAGGCUCUUCAUGAUAUAGAGAAGGUUACAAUGGAGCUUUUCAAAGCCAGUCAGCUAUCCAAAACUCAACAUGAUUCAUUUCUCUCUUUCUUUGAGAACCUGAAGGCUAUCCGGGAUCAACAUCAGAGAGCUGAGAGACAAGCUAAUCGUGUAAGAUGCUUCCAGGAGAAAGAAUCAAGUACUUCUGCUCAGGUUGAAAGGUUGAUGGAUGAGGGCUUGCUGACAAAAGAAAAGAUCGGAGUGGUGACUUCUGAAAUCCAGAAGCUAGAGGAACAACUGGUUGUUCUUAAAGCUGAGCAAGCAACUCUUCUUGGCACCCUCAAAAACCAAAUCGAAGAAGUGAAGAAGUCAAACUCGGAGUUAGAGUAUACUAGGUCUCAACUUGCAAAUAGCCAUACGGUUUUGGCCGAACCUAGUAGGAUUUUUGCAAUCAUGCAGAUAUAUCAUUCUCGAAUAAUCAGCCUGAGUGAAGAUGUAAAAUUAUUAGAUUAGACUCAUUUGUAACCCUUCUUUUAGCAGAAUGAACAUGUAUUUUGUCUUUGCUUGCUUUGUUUCUGGCUCUUAUCUGAACUUAUUUCGGGGCAACUCUUUGCCCCCUUGUUUAUUUUCUUCUUUCUUCUGCUUCCCUCACUAAUACCAAUUUUGGGACCUGAUCAUGAUCCCUUGGUCCCCCUUAUGGUACCUUUAUUUAAGCGGGGGUGUUAGGACAACCUAGGAUCCAUCUAUCUCUUAUGUCAUAGCAACUGAUGACCAUGGCUUCUCUUCCCAAAUCAAGUUGAUCAUAUUGAUAAGGGCUUCCGGGAACGGGUUUGUGUCAACUAUCAUACUGGUUUGGGGUUUGUCUAGCAAUAGCUUUCCCUUCACUAUAAGGUCUUGUAUCCAAUCUCUGAACUGGACACAAUUGGCUAUAAAAUGAUUGAAGGUAUAAUGUAGCUUGCAAUAUUUCUUCCGUCUUAGCUCUUCUGGCUUGGGCAUCUUUUUAGUACUGUCGGGCAAAAUGACUCUUACCCGCACCAGCUCUUCAUAUAUCUCAGGUGCUUUGGCCAAAUCAAACGAACAACUUUGGUACUUGGGGGGUUUCAUAGGGAUGAAGCCUCUAUCAUUCAUCACGAUCUUCUGAUCUUUGAUGGGUUGAACCAACCCUUUCACCAUUAACGGCUUGAAAGGUGUGGUCAUUUUAGCAGCACAAACAUCAAUUUCUUCUCUAUCAUGGCUAUCUUCAUGCUCUGGCCGUGUUUCUUCUACCUCCACACGAUGAAUCGCAGCUUUGUUUUUGUAAAAAUGAGAAGCCUUGGAAGUGUGCUUCACUUGUUGCUCUUCUAGCAGCAACCUUUCAUACUUUGUUGCGGCAUUUACCAAUUCUUGCAACUCAUUAAAUUGCGUAUCAUAGAACCUCUUCCUCAAAGGUAACCUCAAAGCCCUUUGGGCGAUUGAUAUGAGCUGAGCUUGGUUGACGGGGAAUUGGCAUCUCAUCCUUGUUUUCCUGAACCUCAUCAUGAAAUCCUCUGUGGACUCAUGUUUGUAUUGUUUGACUUCAACCAGAUCAUUAAUAGUCAUUUCUGGCUCUAUUAUGUAAAACUGUUCAUGGAAGGCCAUCUUCAUUUGCCCCCAAUUGGCAAUAGAGUUAAGGGGUAAUAGAGAAUACCACUGAGAUGCUAGUCCCGCCAAUGAAUUUCCAAACAACCUUAACUUGUAGUUCGGGUUGUCUUCAUAUUCCACACAAUGAUUAGAGAAUUUGAAAAUGUGAUCUCUGGAUAAGACACUACCAUCUUCACCAGUAAAUGUUGGGAAUGCAGGCAUUUUGAAGUUGAGAUGAAACGGGUUUUGCUCAUCAAUGUAUUCAGGAUAAGGCUUUUGAUAGGUAACCCUGAAUACUGGACGAGCUUGUGGUUGAGCAUUAUGAGCCAUCGUCUUCCUUAAUUCAGCUAACUCAUCCCUCAGUUGUUGAGUAGCUAUAUUAAUAUUCUGGAAGAUAAGGGUAGAUUCGUUCUUCGGGCUUCGGUCAUUGCCCGCACCUGCUUCUUUCUUUGACUCGGGCUUCCUCCAGUUGGCUCCUCCUCCUUUAUUAGCCAACGAGGGUGGCCUAUAAGGAGGAGGUUUGGUUGAAAUUAUGAAGCUUUCCUUUCCGCUGGACUCUCAUGUUGUUAUGGGCAUCCCAUACUUGGUUCUUUCUUGUUCUCUCUGCUUCAUAUUAUUAAAUGAUAAUAAUGGGAAGCUAGAGAAUUCUUUCUCUAGAACUGGUUUUAUCACGGGUUGAACUGGUUCACUUCCUUCAAGAACUACCUUCUUCUUUCCCCUAUCCUUUUCUUCUUCUAAUAGUGGAAAUAGGAGAAUAAUUGGCCCACUUCUGAUGGUAACCUGGCUCAUCCCACUUCAUUGAGCACCUUUUGGAGUGGAAAACUCCAGAUCUAGUCUUCUUUAUAGAUUCCCUGUUAAGGUACACAGUCUACUUACUUCCCCCUUAGUUUUCAAAGAAAAUUUUUUCAUGCUCCUUAAUACUUGUAUCAUAGUAACCUGUAAUUCUUCAUUAAUUCCUUUUCCUUCAGACUUUCCAGAUGAAGUUGGACUUUCCAGGACUACCUGUCCUGAUGGGGAAGAAGGAUUUCCUGAUUGAUCUGUCAUUUGUAGCAAAUGUGGAGAUGAUCCGUGCUUCGCACUCUUCAUGCAAGGUUUAUAGCUUCUCUUUUUUGACAUGCAAAACUGAAAAGCAGAUCUCACCGGGCGUGCCAAAACUAUGUUCGUGGCUAGAAUUUCUGUUGGGGAUGUUUCUUAGCUGACGAGCACACAACUCCCCGAGAGGUUGGCACCGGUCAAUGCUUUCUGUCGGGCUUCUGCUUCACUGGCGUGCUUAUCGAGCAAAGCUUGUCAAGCAAGGCUGAAAGAGAAAGACAGAGUUAACUUUGAAAGGUGCCUUUGAGGGGCCUUAGGUAUAGGCCUUGAGGCUUACAAUCAAGGUUAACUUUUAAGUGCUCAGGCGUGCCACUGCCAUCUUCAGCAUGGCAGAUGUAAAACGGAUGUUGAAUUUUAGUUGUAUAUAUACCCGAGAGGAUGUUUUAGUUAUGAAAUGUGCCUUUGUGGGGCCUUAGGUGUAGGCCUUGAGACUUCCAAUCAGGAACUAACCCAGUAGUCGAAUAUAUAAUGUUUGUUUCAUUGCUUACAGAAGUAUUAUGACUAUUAUACUUCUGAUUACCCGAGCCCGAAAAGCAGAAGGAAUCCAAAUAGGUGCCUUUGUAGGGUCUUAGGUGUAGGCCUUGAGGCUUCCCAUCAGAAUUCCUUCUAUGCUCAAACGUUCUACGAUAAUCAUAAUAUAAUAGAAAUAACACUAAGGGAUAGGUCGAUUACUUGCGCCCUAAGUAACUUCGGACUUCUUGUUUGUCAAAGACUGUCGUGGAUGGGUUAAGUCCACAUAAGGUUCUUUUUUAUGCCUUGAGACCAAGGACUUUUAAAUGAUCAAUCUUACAU